UAUUUUCAGAGUCUAAUCUUGUACUUAUAAUUUUUUAUUAUCAAUAAAAAAAAUUUUCAUUCCAAGCAUGUAUAUGUAUCCAUGAUUUAUCCUAGAAAUUAACAAAAAUAAUUUUUGUAUAUUCUUAAAGAGUUAAGAAUUUGAGAUAUAUAUUAAUUAGUAAUUAAUUUUUAAAUACUUUCGAUCAAAAGAUCAUUAUGAAGGACAGUGAUCAAUCCA
rnacentral:lncRNA from 1 species